rnacentral:rRNA from 1 species
AGCGUACACGGUGGAUGCCCUGGCAGUCAGAGGCGAUGAAGGACGUGCUAAUCUGCGAUAAGCGUCGGUAAGGUGAUAUGAACCGUUAUAACCGGCGAUUUCCGAAUGGGGAAACCCAGUGUGUUUCGACACACUAUCAUUAACUGAAUCCAUAGGUUAAUGAGGCGAACCGGGGGAACUGAAACAUCUAAGUACCCCGAGGAAAAGAAAUCAACCGAGAUUCCCCCAGUAGCGGCGAGCGAACGGGGAGCAGCCCAGAGCCUGAAUCAGUGUGUGUGUUAGUGGAAGCGUCUGGAAAGGCGCGCGAUACAGGGUGACAGCCCCGUACACAAAAAUGCACAUGCUGUGAGCUCGAUGAGUAGGGCGGGACACGUGGUAUCCUGUCUGAAUAUGGGGGGACCAUCCUCCAAGGCUAAAUACUCCUGACUGACCGAUAGUGAACCAGUACCGUGAGGGAAAGGCGAAAAGAACCCCGGCGAGGGGAGUGAAAAAGAACCUGAAACCGUGUACGUACAAGCAGUGGGAGCACGCUUAGGCGUGUGACUGCGUACCUUUUGUAUAAUGGGUCAGCGACUUAUAUUCUGUAGCAAGGUUAACCGAAUAGGGGAGCCGAAGGGAAACCGAGUCUUAACUGGGCGUUAAGUUGCAGGGUAUAGACCCGAAACCCGGUGAUCUAGCCAUGGGCAGGUUGAAGGUUGGGUAACACUAACUGGAGGACCGAACCGACUAAUGUUGAAAAAUUAGCGGAUGACUUGUGGCUGGGGGUGAAAGGCCAAUCAAACCGGGAGAUAGCUGGUUCUCCCCGAAAGCUAUUUAGGUAGCGCCUCGUGAAUUCAUCUCCGGGGGUAGAGCACUGUUUCGGCAAGGGGGUCAUCCCGACUUACCAACCCGAUGCAAACUGCGAAUACCGGAGAAUGUUAUCACGGGAGACACACGGCGGGUGCUAACGUCCGUCGUGAAGAGGGAAACAACCCAGACCGCCAGCUAAGGUCCCAAAGUCAUGGUUAAGUGGGAAACGAUGUGGGAAGGCCCAGACAGCCAGGAUGUUGGCUUAGAAGCAGCCAUCAUUUAAAGAAAGCGUAAUAGCUCACUGGUCGAGUCGGCCUGCGCGGAAGAUGUAACGGGGCUAAACCAUGCACCGAAGCUGCGGCAGCGACGCUUAUGCGUUGUUGGGUAGGGGAGCGUUCUGUAAGCCUGCGAAGGUGUGCUGUGAGGCAUGCUGGAGGUAUCAGAAGUGCGAAUGCUGACAUAAGUAACGAUAAAGCGGGUGAAAAGCCCGCUCGCCGGAAGACCAAGGGUUCCUGUCCAACGUUAAUCGGGGCAGGGUGAGUCGACCCCUAAGGCGAGGCCGAAAGGCGUAGUCGAUGGGAAACAGGUUAAUAUUCCUGUACUUGGUGUUACUGCGAAGGGGGGACGGAGAAGGCUAUGUUGGCCGGGCGACGGUUGUCCCGGUUUAAGCGUGUAGGCUGGUUUUCCAGGCAAAUCCGGAAAAUCAAGGCUGAGGCGUGAUGACGAGGCACUACGGUGCUGAAGCAACAAAUGCCCUGCUUCCAGGAAAAGCCUCUAAGCAUCAGGUAACAUCAAAUCGUACCCCAAACCGACACAGGUGGUCAGGUAGAGAAUACCAAGGCGCUUGAGAGAACUCGGGUGAAGGAACUAGGCAAAAUGGUGCCGUAACUUCGGGAGAAGGCACGCUGAUAUGUAGGUGAAGUCCCUCGCGGAUGGAGCUGAAAUCAGUCGAAGAUACCAGCUGGCUGCAACUGUUUAUUAAAAACACAGCACUGUGCAAACACGAAAGUGGACGUAUACGGUGUGACGCCUGCCCGGUGCCGGAAGGUUAAUUGAUGGGGUCAGCGCAAGCGAAGCUCUUGAUCGAAGCCCCGGUAAACGGCGGCCGUAACUAUAACGGUCCUAAGGUAGCGAAAUUCCUUGUCGGGUAAGUUCCGACCUGCACGAAUGGCGUAAUGAUGGCCAGGCUGUCUCCACCCGAGACUCAGUGAAAUUGAACUCGCUGUGAAGAUGCAGUGUACCCGCGGCAAGACGGAAAGACCCCGUGAACCUUUACUAUAGCUUGACACUGAACAUUGAGCCUUGAUGUGUAGGAUAGGUGGGAGGCUUUGAAGUGUGGACGCCAGUCUGCAUGGAGCCGACCUUGAAAUACCACCCUUUAAUGUUUGAUGUUCUAACGUUGACCCGUGAUCCGGGUUGCGGACAGUGUCUGGUGGGUAGUUUGACUGGGGCGGUCUCCUCCUAAAGAGUAACGGAGGAGCACGAAGGUUGGCUAAUCCUGGUCGGACAUCAGGAGGUUAGUGCAAUGGCAUAAGCCAGCUUGACUGCGAGCGUGACGGCGCGAGCAGGUGCGAAAGCAGGUCAUAGUGAUCCGGUGGUUCUGAAUGGAAGGGCCAUCGCUCAACGGAUAAAAGGUACUCCGGGGAUAACAGGCUGAUACCGCCCAAGAGUUCAUAUCGACGGCGGUGUUUGGCACCUCGAUGUCGGCUCAUCACAUCCUGGGGCUGAAGUAGGUCCCAAGGGUAUGGCUGUUCGCCAUUUAAAGUGGUACGCGAGCUGGGUUUAGAACGUCGUGAGACAGUUCGGUCCCUAUCUGCCGUGGGCGCUGGAGAACUGAGGGGGGCUGCUCCUAGUACGAGAGGACCGGAGUGGACGCAUCACUGGUGUUCGGGUUGUCAUGCCAAUGGCACUGCCCGGUAGCUAAAUGCGGAAGAGAUAAGUGCUGAAAGCAUCUAAGCACGAAACUUGCCCCGAGAUGAGUUCU